AGCAGCCGCGGUAAUUCCAGCUCCAAUAGCGUAUAUUAAAGCUGUUGCAGUUAAAAAGCUCGUAGUUGAAUUUCGGGAUUGACGUAAUGGUCAUGCCUUAAGGGGUUUGAACUGUUACUGUUGAUUUCUCACCUUCUGGAAAAACUUGAUGUCCUUAAUUGGGUGUCUUGCGGAUCCAGGACCUUUACCUUGAAAAAAUUAGAGUGUUUAAAGCAGGCAUUUUGCUCGAAUACAUUAGCAUGGAAUAAUAGAAUAGGACGGCAUGGUUCUAUUUUGUUGGUUUCUAGGAUCACCGUAAUGAUUAAUAGGGAUAGUUGGGGGCAUUAGUAUUCAAUUGUCAGAGGUGAAAUUCUUGGAUUUAUUGAAGACUAACUACUGCGAAAGCAUUUGCCAAGGAUGUUUUCAUUAAUCAAGAACGAAAGUUAGGGGAUCGAAGACGAUCAGAUACCGUCGUAGUCUUAACCAUAAACUAUGCCGACUAGGAAUCAGACGAAUGUUAAUUUUUAAUAGUACUCGUUUG
rnacentral:rRNA from 1 species